CCGUUGUACACACCGCCCGUCACACCAUGGGAGCGGGUUCUGCCAGAGGUAGUUAGCCUAACCGCAAGGAGGGCGAUUACCACGGCAGGGUUCGUGACUGGGGUG
rnacentral:rRNA from 1 species